rnacentral:sRNA from 1 species
UAACGACGGAUACAAGAUGCUC